GACGAACGCUGGCGGCGUGCUUAACACAUGCAAGUCGAACGGAAAGACCCUGCUUUUGUGGGGUGCUCGAGUGGCGAACGGGUGAGUAACACGUGAGUAACCUGCCCUUGACUUUGGGAUAACUUCAGGAAACUGGGGCUAAUACCGGAUAGGAGCUCCUGCUGCAUGGUGGGGGUUGGAAAGUUUCGGCGGUUGGGGAUGGACUCGCGGCUUAUCAGCUUGUUGGUGGGGUAGUGGCUUACCAAGGCUUUGACGGGUAGCCGGCCUGAGAGGGUGACCGGCCCCAUUGGGACUGAGAUACGGCCCCGACUCCUACGGGAGGCAGCAGUGGGGAAUAUUGCACAAUGGGCGGAAGCCUGAUGCAGCAACGCCGCGUGCGGGAUGACGGCCUUCGGGUUGUAAACCGCUUUCGCCUGUGACGAAGCGUGAGUGACGGAAAUGGGUAAAGAAGCACCGGCUAACUACGUG
rnacentral:rRNA from 1 species